CUGAGACUUGUCAAACUGCCCUCUACGGUCACCCGGAAAGUAGGAGGCUUUUUCUGCAGAGGGGAAAAAAAUCAAAAAGAGCCGUUCCAUCCCCCCUCCAAGGACUGGGUUUGAAUUGCUUUUCAUCUGCAGUGGCUGUGAUUCAGCGUCCCUCUUAGCAGCAGGCAAUGACAGAGGCAGGAGAGGGGAAAAAAAAAAAGAAAGAAAGAAAAAACACAGCAAAUGAAUCAAACGGACCAGGUAGCAGGCAAGAGUGUGGUUAUCGUUGGACCAGGAUUCAGGAUCUGACUGAGUAGCUGACUCUUAAUCCAGUUUGUGUUGAUCACCAGGAGGAUCUGGACCUCAGUAUUACCACAUCUAGAGCUAUAAUCACAUCCCUGUUAAGCCUUCCUGAGAUCACACCAAAUGUCCUUGAUGGGAAUUGUAAACAACCCUUACUUCUGGUUUCUAAUGAUAUUCCAGGAAAGGAGCCUAACUAGAGUCAGUGAUAUGCCAACUCCACCUUUGCCUUCCACCAUGUUUGGAAGCUCCCUGAGGCCUCACCAGGAGCAGAUGCUCGUCCCAUGCUUCCUAUAAGCCUGCAGAACUGUCAAGGAAGCUUUUCCUGAUCCACUAACUAAGGACAAUCAAACCCUUCAUGAUCUAGAAUCUGGAGACUGUGUCUUCUGGGAAUAGUAUCAGAGAAAGACUGCCCUUACUGCCCACAUGUAGCAAAACUUUGAGACGUUGAAUUAUGGGUCCAUAAUCUCACAACUCAGAGGGGCACCUCUAGACUCUUGGAACUGUAUAUCUAUUGGAGACUUUAAGGUAAAGCUGAACAGAGAGACGUUUUUCUCCAGAAGCAGACAGCACCAUAGUCAUGGACAGCUUUCCCAAGAUCACAGAUCAAGACUUCUCUGCCGUCAUGAGACUCAUAACCUCUUAAUUUUUUCUUGCUUAUGCUUCUGUGAACAAUAGAAUUGGAAAAGGGGUGGUCCCGCGUGCACCCAUAGGGUAUACUUUUAUUUGUGGAGGAUUUUGCUGCCAACCUUAUACAUGGGCAAACUUAUGCCUUCAUGGAUGGAAGAUAAAGGGCUAAUAUGGGUUAGAAAUUUUAAUGGUACCUUUGUUUCUCCAUAAUCAUUCAGAAACAGAACACUGGUCCACUCUUGUUAACCUACAUCAUAGGUUGAAGAGAACAUUGCCAGGAGGCCUUCAUCCUUCCAGAUGGGCACCAUUUGUUGGGUCUUUUUCCGUGGUAUGAAGAAAAUGAAGCAAUGAUUAGAAAUUGGUCCCUCGGCCGGGCACAAUGGCUCAUGCCUGUAAUCCCAUCACUUUGGCAGGCCGAGGCGGGUGGAUCACCUGAGGUCAGGAGUUUGAGACCAGCCUGACCAAUGUGGUGAAACGCCAUCUCUACUAAAAAUACAAAAAUUAGCUGGGUGUGAUGGUGCACACCUGUAAUCCAGCUACUCGGGAGGCUGAGACAGGAGAAUUGCUUGAACCUGGGAGGCAGAGGUUGCAGUGAGCCAAGAUCACCCCACUGCAUUCCAGGUUGGGCAACAGAGCAAGACUCUGUCUCAAAAAAAAAAGAAGAAAGAAAGAAAUUGAUCCCUCAUAAUAGGCUGUAUAGCAGAUUCUACUGCAAAGGCUAUGGUUGCACAACAGACUUCUUUGAAUUUGCUUGCUAAACUUUUACUGGAUAAUACUGGGAUUACAGGUGUGAGCCACUGUGCCCAGCCUCUCCUGUUUAACUGUAUUCAUUCUAAUGUUUACUUACUUCUUUAAUUUGUAAAAUUGGGUCACUUAGAGUUUUUUUAGCCUAUCUUGCCAUUUAGCCACUGUUACUGAUAAUUUGGAUGGAAAAGAAAAAUAAAUUAUAUCACCUCUCAUCUUCAGUGUAUAUAUGUGUUAACUUAGUAAAUAUAGUAUUCUUUCUCGUUCCUAAUGAAAAUUUAGUUUACGUACUGAAACACUGCAAACUUUUAUAAAUAUUGUGAUGUAUUUGACCAAUACAAAGGAUCUUUUUAGAAACAGCAAACAGUUCUCAGAUUAUAGGAAUUACUCAUUUAAUGAUAGUUUCUUCUUAAAAAAAAAAAAGAAAAAUGUUUAGUUACCGAAUCAUAAACAACCCCUUAAAAGACACUCAGAUAAUCUCAUGGGUCAGGAAGAUGAUGAUCAGUAUAUUUGGUUAAUAAAAUAUAGCAUAGAAAGCAUAAACCAUAAAUGGAAAAUAUAACAGAUUGUACCAAAGAGAAUACAUUGAAAUACAUUAAGAAAUCGGAUUUAAACUAUGAUUGGAUCCUUCUUUAGGUGGAAGUUAUUUGAGAGAAUAAUUCCAUGAAAAUUAAAAAUUCAUGAUUCUUUCAUUGUAGGCUAGAAAAAUGGAUUUAGUCAGCUGAGAUUAAGUAUGGGGGACUCUACAAGAACCUAUGCUAGGAUAAGAAUAUUGGAGGAAAAACAGUGGAUGAGGUACCAGAUGUUAUGGCAUUCCAUCUUUGUAAAUACAUGCAAUAAAAUCUGGUCUAUCUAGCUUUCUUUCAACCUAAAUGCCACUCACCAAUCUCACUACAUUUCUGCAGUACUGUAAUUGAGGUUUAUAAUGAUGACCCUGACAUGACUUGUGAAUCAUAGCAGAAGAUUAAAUUAUGUUCUGCUUUUUCCUUCAUGUAUUUAAUUAUAUUUAUAUUAGUUGCAAACUGGAAAUCUGAUCUGUUUUAAAACCCUGCUAGAUUAACCAGAGCCUCUUUAUCAGGGACCCAACCAUCCUUAAUAGCAGAGUUUAUAGUUCAUGGGGGGGAAAAAAAACCACCCAGGAACUGAUUUUAAAAUGUGACAUUUGUACUUUCAUAGCAAGAAUAAUUAUUACGAGAUAAUUUGGAAUCAUCCAGCCACAUUUUAAAUAACUAUAACAAAUGUGUUAAUAAUAAAUUCUAUAUAGCUACUUCUUUUUAAUAAGUAUACUUCAUAUUCUGUAGUGAGAAAAAAUUUACCUUUGAAUAAAUAAAUCUUCAUCUCGGAUCUGAUAGAAUGUGGUUAGUGUCAACAAGAUAACAGAUAUUAGGCAUAUUUUCAGUUGAAUUGGUUUGUAUGUAAAAGUUUGGUUUGAGGGUCCCAUCAAGCUGCUUCCCAUCUCACCUUUGGUUUACCCAGUGAUGUAUCGUGACCGUGGUGACGAAAAAGGUCUUCUAAUAAACGUGAAUAAGCAUGUGUUAUAGGUCAGAUUUCCUGCAAGAGGAGCCUGAGACAGAGAUUCUUGUUCAAAUGUCUUAUUGAGAAUGGUCUCUCAGGAGAGGGGAAUGUGGGAGGUAGAAUGGAGCAAGAGGAUAAAGCUAAAAAAAAAAAAAAAAGGUGUGGCCCCAGCUGGAGACUGGCUUUGAUCUGAUCCUGUGGGGAACCUGCUAUAGUUUGGAUGUUUGUCCUCCCAAACCUCAAGUUGAAAUUUGAUCCCCAGUGUUGGAAGUAAGGCCUAAUGGGCAGUGUUUGGGUUAUGGGAUAGAUGUCUCAUGAACAGGUGAAUGCCCUCCCUGGGUAGUGGGAAGAAGUGAGUUCUUCCUCUGUUAGUACCUGAGAGAGCUGAUUGUUAAAAAGAGCCUGAUGCGCUCCACCCCUUUACUGACUCCCCACUGCUGGCUUUCUCUCUCACAUGUAAUCUCUGUACACAUGGGCUCCUCUUCACCUUUGGCCAUGAGUGGAAGCAGCCUGAGGUCCCAACCAGCAGCAAGUGCUGGUGCCACGCUUCUUGUACAGUUUGCAGAACCAUGAGCCAAAUAAACCUCUUU
rnacentral:lncRNA from 1 species